AACGAACGCUGGCGGCAGGCCUAACACAUGCAAGUCGAGCGAGGACUUCGGUCCUAGCGGCGGACGGGUGAGUAACGCGUGGGAACGUGCCCUUUGCUUCGGAAUAGCCCUGGGAAACUGGGAGUAAUACCGGAUGAGCCCUUUGGGGGAAAGAUUUAUCGUCGAAGGAUCGGCCCGCGUUGGAUUAGGUAGUUGGUGGGGUAAUGGCCUACCAAGCCGACGAUCCAUAGCUGGUUUGAGAGGAUGAUCAGCCACACUGGGACUGAGACACGGCCCAGAAUCCUACGGGAGGCAGCAGUGGGGAAUCUUAGACAAUGGGGGAAACCCUGAUCUAGCCAUGCCGCGUGAGCGAUGAAGGCCUUAGGGUUGUAAAGCUCUUUCAGCUGGGAAGAUAAUGACGGUACCAGCAGAAGAAGCCCCGGCUAACUCCGUG
rnacentral:rRNA from 1 species